rnacentral:rRNA from 1 species
AUUGAACGCUGGCGGCAUGCCUUACACAUGCAAGUCGAACGGUAACGCGGGGCAACCUGGCGACGAGUGGCGAACGGGUGAGUAAUGUAUCGGAACGUGCCCAGUUGUGGGGGAUAACUGCUCGAAAGAGCGGCUAAUACCGCAUACGACCUGAGGGUGAAAGCGGGGGAUCGCAAGACCUCGCGCAAUUGGAGCGGCCGAUAUCAGAUUAGGUAGUUGGUGAGGUAAAGGCUCACCAAGCCGACGAUCUGUAGCUGGUCUGAGAGGACGACCAGCCACACUGGGACUGAGACACGGCCCAGACUCCUACGGGAGGCAGCAGUGGGAAUUUUGGACAAUGGACGCAAGUCUGAUCCAGCCAUGCCGCGUGCGGGAAGAAGGCCUUCGGGUUGUAAACCGCUUUUGUCAGGGAAGAAACGCUCUGGGUUAAUACCUCGGGGUAAUGACGGUACCUGAAGAAUAAGCACCGGCUAACUACGUGCCAGCCGCCGCUGUAAUAC